UACGUAGGUGGCAAGCGUUAUCCGGAAUUAUUGGGCGUAAAGGGCGUGUAGGCGGGAAUGCAAGUCAGAUGUGAAAACUCAGGGCUCAACCCUGAGCCUGCAUUUGAAACUGUAUUUCUUGAGUGCUGGAGAGGCAAUCGGAAUUCCGUGUGUAGCGGUGAAAUGCGUAGAUAUACGGAGGAACACCAGUGGCGAAGGCGGAUUGCUGGACAGUAACUGACGCUGAGGCGCGAAAGCGUGGGGAGCAAACAGG
rnacentral:rRNA from 1 species